AUUAUACUUAACUGAAUUUUAUAACGCUGAUCGAUAUCUUGGUAAAAUAUUCAUUUUUAAACUAGCGGGCAGUGAAAUCUUUGCUUUGUGUGCUAAAGUCAACAGUCGCUGGGUUUGAGCUCAAAUAAAUGCGGGGAUGCCUGGGCUGGGAGCAGUCCGCCGCCACCCUCCGCGCGCUGGACGCUUCGCCACCCGCCUUCCCGAACUCCGCAGAGAGGUACUAUCGUAUGGAAUGCCAUGUAUUCUCAUGCUUAUAUAUCUUUCUUGCCACUUUGCUGUGGAUCCCUUCAGUGCAGAGAACACUUGGAUAUCCAUAUUUCCUGCAUAUGCUGCCUAAUAUAAAUACUCACAUAUUCGAUGUAUCAAGACAUCCUAUCAGAGCAACCUCAAGACUACAUCCUGAAUCCAAUCACUUCCUACCACUCUGACCAUUACGAAUGUGCUACGCCAGGACCUUGCUCCUGCAUUAUUGUAGGAGCCCCUUCACUGGUUCCCUUGUUUCCAUCCUUGCCGGCCUACAGCCUAUUUUCAACAAAGCAGGCAAUCAUCCACUAAAAAUGUAAAAUGUCACAACAUUCCUAUAAUUAUGACUAUCUUAAGCAUACCUUCACAAUGGAAAUAGAAUCUUCUUUGAAGUUGAAGUCAUCCUUGAAACUCACCCAUCAUGUCCUUACACCAGCAGACUGUAGAGUGAGAUCUGGAUACCAGUCAUCCCCCAGCUGCUCUAUCUCUGAUCUUCACUUGGAGUUUCUGGACAAAAGAUUCUUAUCUAGCAAAGGGACUACAUUUGAUAAGAGACAAACACUGUGUUAAAUGCAUAGGGGACUCCAAAAUGUGUAGAGUAUAAAGGUGAAAACAGCUCUGUGUUUACAUAUCUUUGAAUACAGUUUCACAGUUGUGAGUACGUGAAACACAGAGUUAAUAA